GGUAGUAAGGAGUUGACGCUUAAGUUCUCGGGUCCCGCGGCAGGCUUGUUUGGAGAUAGCUUUCCUUUCCUUGGGUUGAUCCGUUGAGCGUGGAUUCGAUCGAGGGGCAUAACCGAGUAUUCAGGUAAGGGCACGGCUAGGGGCAGACCGACGAGGGGCAGAAAGGAUGCGUGAAGGCCAUAUGGACGUGUCUGAUUUUAUUUUCGCUUCCGCUGAUGUAUUUUG